rnacentral:rRNA from 1 species
UCCAGAGGAAGGCUCGUCCGCUCUGGGUUAGUCGGGUCCUAAGCUGAGGCCGACAGGCGUAGGCGAUGGAUAACAGGUUGAUAUUCCUGUACCACCAUUAUUCGUUUUAAGCGAUGGGGGGACGCAGUAGGAUAGGCGAAGCGUGCUGUUGGAGUGCACGUCCAAGCAGUGAGAUUGAGUGUUAGGCAAAUCCGGCACUCUUAAGAUUGAGCUGUGAUGGGGAGAGGAACUUGUUCCUCGAGUCGUUGAUUUCACACUGCCGAGAAAAGCCUCUAGCUAGAAUAACGGUGCCCGUACCGCAAACCGACACAGGUAGUCAAGAUGAGAAUUCUAAGGUGAGCGAGCGAACUCUCGUUAAGGAACUCGGCAAAAUGACCCCGUAACUUCGGGAGAAGGGGUGCUCUUUGAGGUUCACGCUUCGAAGAGCCGCAGUGAAUAGGCCCAAGCGACUGUUUAUCAAAAACACAGGUCUCUGCUAAACCGUAAGGUGACGUAUAGGGGCUGACGCCUGCCCGGUGCUGGAAGGUUAAGAGGAGUGGUUAGCGCAAGCGAAGCUACGAAUCGAAGCCCCAGUAAACGGCGGCCGUAACUAUAACGGUCCUAAGGUAGCGAAAUUCCUUGUCGGGUAAGUUCCGACCCGCACGAAAGGCGUAACGAUUUGGGCACUGUCUCAACGAGAGACUCGGUGAAAUCAUAGUACCGGUGAAGAUGCCGGUUACCCGCGACAGGACGGAAAGACCCCGUGGAGCUUUACUGUAGCCUGAUAUUGAAAUUCGGUACAGUUUGUACAGGAUAGGUAGGAGCCUUAGAAGCGUGAGCGCUAGCUUACGUGGAGGCAUUGGUGGGAUACUACCCUAAUUGUAUUGGAUUUCUAACCCGCAGCACUUAUCGUGCUGGGAGACAGUGUCAGGCGGGCAGUUUGACUGGGGCGGUCGCCUCCUAAAGAGUAACGGAGGCGCUCAAAGGUUCCCUCAGAAUGGUUGGAAAUCAUUCAUAGAGUGUAAAGGCAUAAGGGAGCUUGACUGCGAGACCUACAAGUCGAGCAGGGUCGAAAGACGGACUUAGUGAUCCGGUGGUUCCGCAUGGAAGGGCCAUCGCUCAACGGAUAAAAGCUACCCCGGGGAUAACAGGCUUAUCUCCCCCAAGAGUUCACAUCGACGGGGAGGUUUGGCACCUCGAUGUCGGCUCAUCGCAUCCUGGGGCUGUAGUCGGUCCCAAGGGUUGGGCUGUUCGCCCAUUAAAGCGGUACGCGAGCUGGGUUCAGAACGUCGUGAGACAGUUCGGUCCCUAUCCGUCGUGGGCGUAGGAAAUUUGAGAGGAGCUGUCCUUAGUACGAGAGGACCGGGAUGGACAUACCUCUGGUGUACCAGUUGUCGUGCCAACGGCAUAGCUGGGUAGCUAUGUAUGGACGGGAUAAGUGCUGAAAGCAUCUAAGCAUGAAGCCCCCCUCGAGAUGAGAUUUCCCAACUUCGGUUAUAAGAUCCCUCAAAGAUGAUGAGGUGAAU